rnacentral:rRNA from 1 species
GAUGAACGCUGGCGGCGUGCCUAAUACAUGCAAGUCGAGCGAACAGACGAGGAGCUUGCUCCUCUGACGUUAGCGGCGGACGGGUGAGUAACACGUGGAUAACCUACCUAUAAGACUGGGAUAACUUCGGGAAACCGGAGCUAAUACCGGAUAAUAUAUUGAACCGCAUGGUUCAAUAGUGAAAGACGGUUUUGCUGUCACUUAUAGAUGGAUCCGCGCCGCAUUAGCUAGUUGGUAAGGUAACGGCUUACCAAGGCAACGAUGCGUAGCCGACCUGAGAGGGUGGUCGGCCCACAUUGAACUGGAGAAACGGUCCGAACUCUACGGGAAGGAGGAGUAGGGAAAUUUUCGGCAUUGGCGGAAGGCUUACGGAGGAAACGCGCGGGGGGGAAGGAGGGUCUCGGAUUGUAAAACCCCGGUAAUUGGGAAGAACAAAUUGUGAAGGUACUAUGCACGGCUUGGAGGUAACCAAUCAGAAAGGCACGGCCUACUAAGGU